CUUGAACGCUAGCGGGAUGCUUUACACAUGCAAGUCGAACGGAGUGGCGAACGGGUGAGUAAUGUCUCGGAACGUGCCCAGUAGCGGGGGAUAACUACGCGAAAGCGUAGCUAAUACCGCCUACUAUUGGAGCGGCCGAUAUCGGAUGAGCUAGUUGGUGCGGUAAAGGCUCACCAGGGCGACGAUCCGUAGCUGGUUUGAGAGGACGACCAGCCACACUGGGACUGAGACACGGCCCAGACUCCUACGGGAGGCAGCAGUGGGGAAUUUUGGACAAUGGGGGCAACCCUGAUCCAGCCAUCCCGCGUGUGCGACGAAGGCCUUCGGGUUGUAAAGCACUUUUGGCAGGAAAGCGGUACCUGCAGAAUAAGCACCGGCUAACUACGUGCCAGCAGCCGCGGUAAUAC
rnacentral:rRNA from 1 species